rnacentral:rRNA from 1 species
UACAGAGGUCUCAAGCGUUGUUCGGAUUCAUUGGGCGUAAAGGGUGCGUAGGUGGCGUCGUAAGUCAGGUGUGAAAUCUCGGGGCUCAACCCCGAAACUGCACUUGAUACUGCUUUGCUAGAGUACUGGAGAGGAGACUGGAAUUUACGGUGUAGCAGUGAAAUGCGUAGAUAUCGUAAGGAAGACCAGUGGCGAAGGCGAGUCUCUGGACAGUUACUGACGCUGAGGCACGAAGGCCAGGGGAGCAAACGGG